UUACACAUGCAAGUCGAGGGGCAUCAGGAAGAAAGCUUGCUUUCUUUGCUGGCGACCGGCGCACGGGUGAGUAACACGUAUCCAACCUGCCCUUUACUCGGGGAUAGCCUUUCGAAAGAAAGAUUAAUACCCGAUAGCAUAAUGAUUCCGCAUGGUUUCAUUAUUAAAGGAUUCCGGUAAAGGAUGGGGAUGCGUUCCAUUAGGUUGUUGGUGAGGUAACGGCCCACCAAGCCUUCGAUGGAUAGGGGUUCUGAGAGGAAGGUCCCCCACAUUGGAACUGAGACACGGUCCAAACUCCUACGGGAGGCAGCAGUGAGGAAUAUUGGUCAAUGGGCGCUAGCCUGAACCAGCCAAGUAGCGUGAAGGAUGAAGGCUCUAUGGGUCGUAAACUUCUUUUAUAUAAGAAUAAAGUGCAGUAUGUAUACUGUUUUGUAUGUAUUAUAUGAAUAAGGAUCGGCUAACUCCGUGCCAGCAGCCGCGGUAAUACGGAGGAUCCGAGCGUUAUCCGGAUUUAUUGGGUUUAAAGGGAGCGUAGGUGGACUGGUAAGUCAGUUGUGAAAGUUUGCGGCUCAACCGUAAAAUUGCAGUUGAUACUGUCAGUCUUGAGUACAGUAGAGGUGGGCGGAAUUCGUGGUGUAGCGGUGAAAUGCUUAGAUAUCACGAAGAACUCCGAUUGCGAAGGCAGCUCACUGGACUGCAACUGACACUGAUGCUCGAAAGUGUGGGUAUCAAACAGGAUUAGAUACCCUGGUAGUCCACACAGUAAACGAUGAAUACUCGCUGUUUGCGAUAUACAGUAAGCGGCCAAGCGAAAGCAUUAAGUAUUCCACCUGGGGAGUACGCCGGCAACGGUGAAACUCAAAGGAAUUGACGGGGGCCCGCACAAGCGGAGGAACAUGUGGUUUAAUUCGAUGAUACGCGAGGAACCUUACCCGGGCUUAAAUUGCAGUGGAAUGAUGUGGAAACAUGUCAGUGAGCAAUCACCGCUGUGAAGGUGCUGCAUGGUUGUCGUCAGCUCGUGCCGUGAGGUGUCGGCUUAAGUGCCAUAACGAGCGCAACCCUUAUCUUCAGUUACUAACAGGUUAUGCUGAGGACUCUGGAGAGACUGCCGUCGUAAGAUGUGAGGAAGGUGGGGAUGACGUCAAAUCAGCACGGCCCUUACGUCCGGGGCUACACACGUGUUACAAUGGGGGGUACAGAAGGCAGCUAGCGGGUGACCGUAUGCUAAUCCCAAAAGCCUCUCUCAGUUCGGAUCGAAGUCUGCAACCCGACUUCGUGAAGCUGGAUUCGCUAGUAAUCGCGCAUCAGCCACGGCGCGGUGAAUACGUUCCCGGGCCUUGUACACACCGCCCGUCAAGCCAUGGGAGCCGGGGGGUACCUGAAGUACGUAAACCGCAAAGGAUCGUCCUA
rnacentral:rRNA from 1 species